UACGUAGGGUGCGAGCGUUGUCCGGAAUUAUUGGGCGUAAAGAGCUUGUAGGCGGUUUAUCGCGUCUGCUGUGAAAAUCCGAGGCUCAACCUCGGGCCUGCAGUGGGUACGGGCAGACUAGAGUGCGGUAGGGGGAGAUUGGAAUUCCUGGUGUAGCGGUGGAAUGCGCAGAUAUCAGGAGGAACACCAAAUGGGCGAAGGCAGAUCUCUGGGCCGUAACUGACGCUGAGGAGCGGAAAGCAUGGGGAGCGAACAGG
rnacentral:rRNA from 1 species